AAGUUCCACAGAUUAUCAGAUGCUGCUCUGGUUCAUUAUUUUGCAUUCUUUGUUUUAACAUCCGGUCAUCCUUAAUGUAUCUUUCUGCAGUGAUUAAUAUUACUGAUGAAGAUGAACUACGGAAGAGCUGUGCUGUGUUGCAUGACCAAUUAGUCAUCAGAUUGCAUGUUUGCAGCAUUUUAAAAAUGUUUCUCUUCACAGAAAUAAUUCAAAGCAUGUGAAGCUCCACAUCGUGUGAGAAACACUAUCAUAUCUGACCCUGGAACUUCCAAAGGCAGCUCCAGUGAGAGUCUGGGAAUUAUGUUAUUUCUUUCCUCAGAGAGUUCACACUUUAACAGAUCUGUGUACCAGAUUCCUUCCAAGAAAUCUCAAAUGUCUUUGGCAAGAGGAAAUCACUGUGGAGUCUGACUGGAUCAAGGAGAACAGGGCAUGCUCACUGAGAGGGAUUUCACAGUCUCUCUGUUCAAGAUGUUUGACUUCUAGUGAAUAUAAUUCUUCACUAAACUGGAUCAAGGCCUCCUAUGUGCGAAUUAUUAAAACCUGCAAAGAAUAGGGAAGUUCAGAAAUCACGAUGCUGAACUUGAUGAAGAUGUAGAAGACUCACAUAAAAGAAAGAAAUGCAUUGUUCUCCAUGUGUGCUUGUGUCUGAACAAGAAUUAUGUGGCUUAAAAUGUAAGGAAGAUGCCUCUGUGAAAUGUGUGUCUACCUGAAGGACAGGGAGGAGGACCUCCUCUUCACAAAUGUGCCUGGACAGUCUAUCUCUUUCUGAUCUAAAUAAAGUGUGUUUGUGCUUUUGCAGAGGACACACUGAUGAUGACAGGCUUAAUUAGUUGUAUCUAUAAUUAAUAUUCUCUAUAAUGUUUGAUAUGUGGAAUAUUAAAUACCUGAAAGAGUUUUAAGAUUUUACCUGACUGAAUCCAAAACAUUAUGAAAAUGGGACCUGGGAUUUUUCUAUAUAUUUUCUGUAUAUUUCUGUGUUUCCUAUAGAAACAUGCUGAAGUCAAAAGUACAGCUAGAAGAUGAUAUUCUUAUAUCUAUGGUCAGCUCUGUUUUCUGUUUAAUUUACAUGUUUGUUGGUUUUUUUUUUUUUUUUUAAAUUCAUCCUUCAAAGCACAGUUUGAGUUUCAAUUUUUCAACUUAAAACAGUGUGCGAUUAUUUACAUUGCUUUACCAUCACCUCUUUCUCGCUUUAUGUAACCCGGUGGGUGGAUCGUGUUACAACUGGAAAACUAAUUGUGUUCUGUCUUCAUGAAGAGAAGGAAUUAGUAUGUAAAUGGAGUGGUGGCAGUAUAGAAGGAGCUAAGCUGUAGAGGUUAUGCUUCGUAAACUGAGAACGCACAGAAUUUGCUGAAAGUUUCCAGAAGUUCAACAUGCAGUCACUAUGCAGUCAGACGGUGCUUUUGAGGUGUUUCUGAUGGGUGUAUGGCGAUGGCCUCUUGUAGGCUGCAGUCACACAUUUUACUGCACAGGCCCUCCUGCAAGGCAUCAGAGUAAAGCUUCCACUAGACAAGUCCACGCUAGGUGGAGGGUUUAGUAAGCUGUCGAUUAGGUGGGAGGUUGUGUAACCGUAUUUAGAGGUUUCUGAGAGCAACACUAAUGCAAGACUUCUCCCAGCAAUGGCAAGAUACAUAUGAUUUAACUUAAGAACAUUGAGGUUUUUGAAACUGUUUUCAAGAUCGUGUUUUUGACUUCCUAAAAUCCGGCACCUAUUUUAUGGAAAAGAAUCUGUAUUCUACUUCAUUUUGUUGACAAAUGGUAUGAAAAUGUUCACUUCCAAAUAUAUUAAUUUUUAUGUAAAGACCUGAACAUGUGAUAAAGACAAACUGUACUUCUGUGUCCAUAACACUGUUUCAAUGACAUGUACACUUCCACCUCAGAGAUCAAGUCCAGAGAAGAAUUAAACACAAAUCUGUUGCCAUGCACUUGUACAACUGAUUUCUUAGUCAUUUUUGUAUAUAGGAAUGAAUAACUGCAGCUGUGUUCCCUACAGUAGAAUUGGUAAACAGAAGGUAAAACUUCUGAAAAUACCAGCUAGGUCAUCCUAUAAUGAGGGACUGAAUCUGGGGCAAACAUACUUGAGGAAUGUAGGGAGUUCAGAUAGGCUUUUUCAUGUUUAAAUGUACUUUCUUCUUUGUUAAUCUAUUACUGGCUCAUUCUAAUAUACGUGUUUGAAUCUGAAAAUCUUAUCAAUGUGUCUUUUAUAUAUAUAUGCUAAUUCUUUUACUUUUCUGCCACGUCUUUGUGAGUGUUGGAGAGCAAGU